UGAGUACGAGCUGCUACGGCAGCGAAGUGGGUGAUGUCAUGCUUCCAAGAAAAGCCCUAUACCCGUUAAGGCAUGAUGGCCUGUACCCGAAACCGACACAGGUGGGGUGGUAGAGAAUACCGAGGGGCGCGAGGUAACUCUCUCUAAGGAACUCGGCAAAAUGGCCCCGUAACUUCGGGAGAAGGGGUGCCACCGCAAGGUGGUCGCAGUGAAGAGGCCCAGGCGACUGUUUACCAAAAACACAGGUCUCCGCUAAGUCGCAAGACGAUGUAUGGGGGCUGACGCCUGCCCAGUGCCGGAAGGUUAAGGAAGCUGGUCAGCGUAAGCGAAGCUAGCGACUGAAGCCCCGGUGAACGGCGGCCGUAACAAUAACGGUCCUAAGGUAGCGAAAUUCCUUGUCGGGUAAGUUCCGACCCGCACGAAAGGCGUAACGAUCUGGGCGCUGUCACGGAGAGAGGCUCGGCGAAAUAGAAUUGUCUGUGAAGAUGCGGACUACGUGCACCCGGACAGAAAGACCCUAUGAAGCUUUACUGUAGCUUGGUAUUGUGCUCGGGCUCGGAAUGCGCAGGAUAGGUGGGAGGCUAUGAACCAUUGCUUGUGGGUGAUGGUGAGCCACUGGUGAGAUACCACUCUUUCCGAGCUAGAGUUCUAACAGCCACCCGUUAUCCGGGGGCUGGACAGUAUCAGGUGGGCAGUUUGACUGGGGCGGUCGCCUCCUAAAAGGUAACGGAGGCGCGCAAAGGUUUGCUCAGGCUGGUUGGAAAUCAGCCGACGAGUGUAAAAGCAGAAGCAAGCUUGACUGUGAGACCUACAAGUCGAACAGGGAGGAAACUCGGCUUUAGUGAUCCGACGGUUCUGCGUGGAAGGGCCGUCGCUCAACGGAUAAAAGUUACUCUAAGGAUAACAGGCUGAUCUCCCCCAAGAGUUCACACCGACGGGGAGGUUUGGCACCUCGAUGUCGGCUCAUCGCAACCUGGGGCUGAAGUCGGUCCCAAGGGUUGGGCUGUUCGCCCAUUAAAGCGGUACGCGAGCUGGGUUCAGAACGUCGUGAGACAGUUCGGUCCAUAUCCGGUGCAUGCGCAGGAAUAUUGAGAGGAUUUCUCCCUAGUACGAGAGGACCGGGAGGAACGCACCUCUGGUGUACCAGUUAUCGUGCCAACGGUAAACGCUGGGUAGCCAUGUGCGGAGAGGAUAACCGCUGAAAGCAUCUAAGUGGGAAGCCCACCUCAAGAUGAGUAUUCCCAUGGGGUAACCCAGUAAGGUCACGGGAAGAACACCCGUUGAUAGGCUCUACGUGGAAGCGCAGUAAUGUGUGAAGCGGAGGAGUACUAAUAGACCGAGGGCUUGACC
rnacentral:rRNA from 1 species